AAAAAAAUCAAAAUGGCACCACAGAGAGAUCUUAAUAAAAUAGGGUCGGAAGGUUUUGCUCUAAUUGAUGAAUACUUUGAUAAAAAGAGGACUAACAGAUCUCAAAUCACCGUGGAGACACAGCAGAGCUGCAACUAUCGCUAUGUUUUACCGGAAUCUCUUGUUUACCGGAUGAUUCCCCCGACUGGAAGAGAAGUUAUGGUCAGUGCUCCAACACCACCG
rnacentral:misc_RNA from 1 species